rnacentral:rRNA from 1 species
UACAGAGGUCCCAAGCGUUGUUCGGAUUCAUUGGGCGUAAAGGGUGCGUAGGUGGCGUCGUAAGUCGGGUGUGAAAUUUCGGAGCUUAACUCCGAAACUGCAUUCGAUACUGCGGUGCUUGAGGACUGGAGAGGAGACUGGAAUUUACGGUGUAGCGGUGAAAUGCGUAGAGAUCGUGAGGAAGACCAGUGGCGAAGGCGGGUCUCUGGACAGUUCCUGCCGCUGAGGCGCGAAUGCUUGGGGAGCAUUCGGG